CUCAUUGCAUGGGCUGUGUAUAUUUUUUAUUCAAUACCCAGAGCAUGCAGUGUGAA
rnacentral:pre_miRNA from 1 species